GACGAACGCUGGCGGCGUGCUUAACACAUGCAAGUCGAACGGAAAGGCCCUGCUUGCAGGGUACUCGAGUGGCGAACGGGUGAGUAACACGUGGGUGAUCUGCCCUGCACUUCGGGAUAAGCCUGGGAAACUGGGUCUAAUACCGGAUAGGAGCCAUUUUUAGUGUGAUGGUUGGAAAGUUUUUUCGGUGUAGGAUGAGCUCGCGGCCUAUCAGCUUGUUGGUGGGGUAAUGGCCUACCAAGGCGGCGACGGGUAGCCGGCCGGAGAGGGUGGACGGCCACAUUGGGACUGAGAUACGGCCCAGACUCCUACGGGAGGCAGCAGUGGGGAAUAUUGCACAAUGGGCGCAAGCCUGAUGCAGCGACGCCGCGUGGGGGAGGACGGCCUUCGGGUUGUAAACUCCUUUCGCUAGGGACGAAGCUUUUUGUGACGGUACCUAGAGAAGAAGCACCGGCUAACUACGUG
rnacentral:rRNA from 1 species